rnacentral:rRNA from 1 species
AGUGAACGCUGGCGGUAUGCCUAACACAUGCAAGUCGAACGGCAGCACAGUAAGAGCUUGCUCUUACGGGUGGCGAGUGGCGGACGGGUGAGGAAUACAUCGGAAUCUACUUUUUCGUGGGGGAUAACGUAGGGAAACGUACGCUAAUACCGCAUACGACGUACGGGUGAAAGCAGGGGUUCUUCGGACCUUGCGCGAGUGAAUGAGCCGAUGUCGGGUUAGCUAGUUGGCGGGGUAAAGGCCCACCAAGGCGACGAUCCGUAGCUGCUCUGAGAGGAUGAUUCGCCACACUGGAACUGAGACACGGCCCCGACUCCGACGGGAGGAAGCAGUGGGGAAUAUUGGAGAAUGGGCGAAAGCCUGAUCCAGCAAUACCGCGUGAGUGAAGAAGGACUUCUGGUUGUAAAGCCAUUUUGUUGGGAAAGAAAAGAAGCACGUUAACACCCCGCUGUUCUGACGGUACCCAAAGAAUAAGCACCGGCUAACUUCGUG